GACGAACGCUGGCGGCGUGCUUAACACAUGCAAGUCGAACGGAAAGGCGCUGUUUUUGUGGGGUGCUCGGGUGGCGAACGGGAGAGUAACACGUGAGUAACCUGCCCUUGACUCUGGGAUAACAUCAGGACAUUAGGGUGAAUACCAGAUAGGAGCUUCUGCUGCAGGGUGGGGGUUGGAAUGGUUCGGCGGUUGGGGAUGGAGGCGCGGGUCAUCAGCGUGUUGGUGGGGUAGGGGGGUACAAAGGCUUUGAGGGGUGGCCGGCCUGAGAGGGUGACCGGCCACAAUGGGACUGCGAUACGACCCAGACGCGUACGGGAGGCAGCAGUGGGGAAUAUUGUGCAGUGGGCGCGAGCCUGAUGCGACGGCGCCGCGUGCGUUAUGACGGCCUUCGGGUUGUGAACCGCUUUCGCCUGUGACGUAGCGUGGGUGACGGUAGUGGGUUAAGAAGCACCGGCUAACUACGUG
rnacentral:rRNA from 1 species